GACGAACGCUGGCGGCGCGCUUAAUACAUGCAAGUCGAGCGAGAACCAGGGCUUCGGCCCUGGGGACAGCGGCGAACGGGUGAGUAACACGUGGGUAAUCAACCCCCGACACCGGGAUAGCCCAGGGAAACUUGGAUUAAUACCGGAUGCCCCGUCUGGCCUUCGGGCCGGCCGGAAAAGGGUAGCUUCGGCCUCUGGUCGGGGACGAGCCUGCGGCGGAUUAGCUUGUUGGUGGGGGAAAGGCUCACCACGGCGACGAGCCGUAGCUGGUCUGAGAAGACGAUCAGCCACACUGGGACUGAGACACGGCCCAGACUCCUACGGGAGGCAGCAGUAGGGAAUCUUGCGCAAUGGGCGAAAGCCGGACGCAGCGACGCCGCGUGAGGGAAGAAGGCCUUCGGGUUGUAAACCUCUUUCAGGAGGGACGAAGCCACUCGGGUUAAUAGCCUAGAGGGUGACGGUACCUCCAGAAGAAGCCCCGGCUAACUACGUGCCAGCCGCCGCGGUAAGAC
rnacentral:rRNA from 1 species